rnacentral:rRNA from 1 species
CCUACGGGCGGCAGCAGUGGGGAAUAUUGCACAAUGGGGGGAACCCUGAUGCAGCGAUGCCGCGUGGAGGAAGAAGGUUUUCGGAUUGUAAACUCCUGUCUUAAAGGACGAUAAUGACGGUACUUUAGGAGGAAGCUCCGGCUAACUCCGUGCCAGCAGCCGCGGUAAUACGGAGGGUCCGAGCGUUAUCCGGAUUUAUUGGGUUUAAAGGGAGCGUAGGCGGGAUCGCAAGUCAGAUGUGAAAUACAUGGGCUCAACCCAUGGGCUGCAUUUGAAACUGUGGUUCUUGAGUGAAGUAGAGGUAAGCGGAAUUCCUGGUGUAGCGGUGAAAUGCGUAGAUAUCAGGAGGAACACCGGUGGCGAAGGCGGCUUACUGGGCUGUAACUGACGCUGAGGCUCGAAAGCGUGGGGAGCAAACAGGAUUAGAUACCCUGGUAGUC